UAUUUACGUAGACAUUACAUCCAUCUCCAGACUUCUGCACAUUCCACGAAGAAGGAGAAUGUUGUGGAACUUGAGCUUUCAUUACUUGUUUACAGAUCCAGGAGCAUAGUGCAGUGUUGUUUACAGGACCAGGAGCAUAGUGCAGUGUUGUUUACAGGAGCAUAGUGCAGUGUUGUUUACAGGAGCAUAGUGUUGUGUUGUUUACAGGUCCAUAGUGUUGUGUUGUUUACAGAUCCAGGAGCAUAGUGUUGUGUUGUUUACAGGUCCAGGAGCAUAGUGUUGUGUUGUUUACAGAUCCAGGAGCAUAGUGUUGUGUUGUUUACAGGUCCAGGAGCAUAGUGCAGUGUUGUCCCCCCUCUGCAGACUGCCACGAGUGUGUUGUGUGUUUAAGAAGGGA
ensembl:lncRNA